UGUGUAUCUUCCCCUCGUCAUAAUCGUCAUAGAAAUCAGUCAGUUCAGAGUCGUCAUAGUGUCUUAGCUGAGUUUCAAGUAGUAGUUUCACAGCCUAGUUUGUUUUUCGCUUUGAUUAAUGUUCCACAUAUACCAGCCAAAAUAAAGGCUCGCCUUUUGUUGGAGUUAAUUCUGUCUCCUGGCCUGUCCGCACCUGGGUCCUCCAAACAACAAGCAUUUUCCUUCAAGGACAGAUGCCACUCUGUCUGACAACAACAACCCACAGAACAACUGCAUCCCGAGUCAGUUCUUCAUCAUCAUCAUAUCUGUCUUUGUUGCCACUGUCAUCAUUCUAAUAAUGGGUGGGCUUUUCAUACUGCUGUGCUUGAGGAAGAAAAACAGCAGCACACAGCUGGAUGAUCCGUCGAUUCACAUCUAUGAGAAUUCUAUAACACUGUAGCUGAGCAGGAUAGGAGGAUCCAGAUUAUGGCGUAGAUUUCUGCUGAACCAGCAAGACAUCACCGAAAGAUUUCUUUGCCUUUCAUCAAACGUUGUUGCUGUCAGACUACAUUCUAAUUUUAAUUGGUUAAUAAUUGGUUUACAUUAAACUAAAAAAAUAAAAUAUGUAUAUAUUUUUGUCCUCUACAGCAAAAAGCUGACUAAGUCAGGAUAAGCAUCGUUAGAAAAUACCUGUACAGUUAUUAUGUAAAACUUUAAAGAAAUGUAGAUGUAGAAUGUUUUCAGGGUUUUUUUGCUUUGUUUGUUUUUUUAUUUGUUUUUUUUUUAUCCUUCUAUAAACUUUUAGCUGUGUCGUGUUCAUUUUUUCAGAGGGAAGUACAGGAGAACAUCAAUGGUUUAAAAUAUUGAAUUUGCUUUAGCAGUUGAACUUACAGGUUACAGCACAGGACCUCUGUGUGAAAUCAGCCAUGUGUCUUCACACAAAAGGAUGAGCCUGGAUUGGGCCGUACAGUUUUAUACCCCAACAAUAACAAGUAUUAUUAUGACUGUUUAUCCACAACUAUAUCUUUUUCCGGAAGCAACGUGGCAAUCCUGCUGUCUCCCUACGAGUCUUCUCUCCGUUCACGUCAAUGUCUGACCUCGCCUCACAUCUGCGCCUUAUCCUGGAAUAAAAC